ensembl:lncRNA
AUGCGCUGCGGUAUUGACAGCUAUCCGCAGCCCACUCCACCUCCGAAGAAGCCAACAUUACCAACCACCUCCUUCUCUCUGGUGGCAGCGCUCCAGCUUCUGCCCGCCUGGCCUCCUACCACUCCUACCUCCUGCCUUAUCUCGUCUUCUCUUCACUGUCCCAGAAACUCCGCGCUUAUCCAACAUCACACUCUCAAAACUUGGCCCCGGCGUGUGCUUUCGCGUAUCGAACAUCUGCUCGGUAUUUGUUAUGUGCGCAGUGACCUGAUGGCAGACGCCCUCAUGGCGAGAGAGGCCGGUGGUACGCAGCCAAUACAGUCCAGCAGGGGCAGGCAGGGACAGGAGCCCACAGCACUGGUCACCUUACAGGCCGGUACUCCAUUGACCUUCCUCCUGAACCCUGCUCUCCGGCUGGACCUGAACAACCUGUCGAGACAUAGCCGGGCUGGCAAUCCACCACCAUGAAGGAGAG